GUUGUCUUGUCAUUGCUAGAGUUCAUUUUCAUCGUGGCGAUUGCUGGAAGAACACAACGAGACGUCGUCGAACACGGACGAGCGGGCCUGACCCUUCGCUGCCUGUGGAGAACAUGCGACCUGCGAGCGUCAUAUGGUGCGGAUGAAAUCACAUGGAGGCCACAAGAUAUAUCGAGCAAGUUGUUGAGUAUCGAAUGGCCAAGUAUCGAGUGAAAAUUGAACACUGACUCACUUCACCGGGAAUCGCUCUG